UGGGGAAUAUUGGACAAUGGGGGGAACCCUGAUCCAGCCAUGCCGCGUGUGUGAAGAAGGCCUUAUGGUUGUAAAGCACUUUAAGCGAGGAGGAGGGUACUGGUAUUAAUACUACCAGGUACUGGACGUUACUCGCAGAAUAAGCACCGGCUAACUCUGUGCCAGCAGCCGCGGUAAUACAGAGGGUGCGAGCGUUAAUCGGAUUUACUGGGCGUAAAGCGUGCGUAGGCGGCUAAUUGAGUCGGAUGUGAAAUCCCCGAGCUUAACUUGGGAAUUGCAUUCGAUACUGGUUAGCUAGAGUGUGGGAGAGGAUGGUUGAAUUCCAGGUGUAGCGGUGAAAUGCGUAGAGAUCUGGAGGAAUACCGAUGGCGAAGGCAACCAUCUGGCCUAACACUGACGCUGAGGUACGAAAGCAUGGGGAGCAAACAGG
rnacentral:rRNA from 1 species